UGAGGAAUAUUGGGCAAUGCCCGCAAGGGUGACCCAGCAACGCCGCGUGGAGGAUGAAUGUCGUAAGAUUGUAAACUCCUGUUAGAGGGGAAGAAUAGUACCGGUUGGACCGGUAUAUGACUGUACCCUCAGAGAAAGCCCCGGCUAACUACGUGCCAGCAGCCGCGGUAAUACGUAGGGGGCAAGCGUUGUCCGGAUUUACUGGGUGUAAAGCGCGUGCAGGUGGCUUCGUAAGUUGGACGUUAAAUCUUUCGGCCUAACCGGGAGGUGUCGUUCAAUACUGCGGGGCUUGAGGGUAGAAGAGGGGGGUGGAAUUGCCGGUGUAGUGGUGAAAUGCGUAGAUAUCGGCAGGAACACCUGUGGCGAAAGCGGCCCCCUGGUCUGCUCCUGACACUCAGACGCGAAAGCUAGGGGAGUGAACG
rnacentral:rRNA from 1 species